rnacentral:rRNA from 1 species
GCAGUCGCACGAGAACGUUCUGGCUUUGCCAGGACAAGUACAGUGGUGGACGGGUGCGUAUCGCGUAGAUAACCUGCCCUUAGGCGCGGGACAAUCACGGGAAACCGUGGCUAAUACCGCACGUCGUCUGGGCCCCGCAUGGGGACCAGAUGAAAGCUUGGGGUUACCCAGGCGCCUUGGGAUGGGUCUGCGUUGGAUUAGCUUGUUGGUGAGGCAACGGCUCACCAAGGCAACGAUCCAUAGCUGGUCUGAGAGGACGAUCAGCCACACUGGGACUGAGACACGGCCCAGACUCCUACGGGAGGCAGCAGUGGGGAAUCUUGCACAAUGGGGUCACCCCUGAUGCAGCCAUGCCGCGUGGAGGAAGACACCCCUAUGGGGCGUAAACUCCUUUUCUGAAUGAAGAAACCCCUGUAGGUUCAGGGCGCGACGGUAGUUCAGGAAUAAGCACCGGCUAACUCCGUGCCAGCAGCCGCGGUAAUACGGAGGGUGCAAGCGUUGUCCGGAAUCACUGGGUGUAAAGGGUGUGCAGGCGGGGCAACAAGUCGGAUGUGAAACCCCAUGGCUCAACCAUGGAGGUGCAUUCGAAACUGUUGCUCUUGAGUCCCGGAGAGGCUGUCGGAAUUCGUGGUGUAGCGGUGAAAUGCGUAGAUAUCACGAGGAACACCAGAGGCGAAAGCGGGCAGCUGGACGGGUACUGACGCUCAGGCACGAAAGCGUGGGGAGCANACAGGAUUAGAUACCCUGGUA